GUCAAACAAAGUUUUCUCCCCUUGCUACUGUUCUAUAAUCGAAUGUCAUAGCGACGGCUUCUGAAACUGAGGCUAUACGUUGGAUUUCACACGGCAAGCCGGGUAAGUGAUUUUUUUUCUCUCCUCUCAAUUUGUCUCCUUUCAAGACUGCUCUGCCGUGUAUGCCGUUUUUUGCACGUCUCUGUAUUUGUUUCACAGCUGCGAUUUAUAUCAUGGAAUAAGACUGCCCUCUUCUUUUCAGACGAAAUGAUAUUCCCCGCUUUUGCCGAAAUUAUAGUUUUUGUAUGCAUGAUUUGCCCGUGAAUUUCGUUUGACUCCAAAUUUCUGCGGACCCAUCCCGCUGUGCGAUUUAUUU
rnacentral:lncRNA from 1 species